ACACCAGAGACAGCAGCCCGCUCCUUAGUGUCUGGCCCUAGAGCCAGAUAAGACUGAAGCUCUACAUCCCCACAGCUCCGCUCGUGUCAUCCCACCAUUUUGUCUCUUUGAAGGCACGCCGAAAUAAAAAAAAAAAGAGAUAAAAAUG